UACGUAGGGUGCGAGCGUUAUUCGGAUUUACUGGGCGUAAAGCGCAUGUAGGCGGCUUGUUAAGUCUGAUGUGAAAUCCCUGGACUCAAUCCAGGAACUGCAUUGGAUACUGGCAGGCUUGAGUAUGGGAGAGGUGAGCGGAAUUCCAGGUGUAGAGGUGAAAUUCGUAGAUAUCUGGAGGAACAACAGAAGCGAAAGCGGCUCACUGGACCAUUACUGACGCUGAGAUGCGAAAGCGUGGGGAGCAAACAGG
rnacentral:rRNA from 1 species